GAUGAACGCUGGCGGCGUGCUUAACACAUGCAAGUCGAACGGACGGAUUGGAGCUUGCUCCAUGAAGUUAGUGGCGGACGGGUGAGUAACGCGUGGGUAACCUGCCCUAUGCAGGGGGAUAACGUUUGGAAACGAACGCUAAUACCGCAUAACCUAGUUGGUUCGCAUGAACCGACUAGCAAAGAUUUUAUCGGCAUAGGAUGGACCCGCGUUGGAUUAGCUAGUUGGUGAGAUAACAGCCCACCAAGGCAACGAUCCAUAGCCGGCCUGAGAGGGUGAACGGCCACACUGGGACUGACACACGGCCCAGACUCCUACGGGAGGCAGCAGUGGGGAAUAUUGCACAAUGGGCGCAAGCCUGAUGCAGCGACGCCGCGUGAAGGAUGAAGGUCUUCGGGAUCGUAAAACUUCUUUUAUAUAAGAAUAAAGUGCAGUAUGUAUACUGUUUUGUAUGUAUUAUAUGAAAUAAAGGAUCGGG
rnacentral:rRNA from 1 species